rnacentral:rRNA from 1 species
ACACAUGCAGUCGAGCGGGAUCCAUCCAGUAGCAAUACUGGUGAAGAUCUAGCGGCGAACGGGUGAGUAACACGUGAGAAACCUGCCCCGGACUCUGGGAUAACACGAGGAAACUCGUGCUAAUACCGGAUACCUUCUUUUGGUCGCAAGGCCGAAUGAAGAAAGAUUUAUCGGUUUGGGAGGGUCUCGCGGCCUAUCAGCUAGUUGGCGGGGUAACGGCCCACCAAGGCAUCGACGGGUAGCUGGUCUGAGAGGACGAUCAGCCACACUGGGACUGAGACACGGCCCAGACUCCUACGGGAGGCAGCAGUGGGGAAUCUUGCGCAAUGGGCGAAAGCCUGACGCAGCAACGCCGCGUGCGGGAUGAAGGCCUUCGGGUUGUAAACCGCUUUCAGCAGGGAAGAAAUUGACGGUACCUGCAGAAGAAGCCCCGGCCAACUACGUGCCAGCAGCCGCGGUAACACGUAGGGGGCGAGCGUUGUCCGGAUUUAUUGGGCGUAAAGAGCUCGUAGGCGGUUCGGUAAGUCGGGUGUGAAACCUCCAGGCUCAACCUGGAGACGCCACCUGAUACUGCUGUGACUAGAGUCCGGUAGGGGAGUGUGGAACUCCUGGUGUAGCGGUGAAAUGCGCAGAUAUCAGGAAGAACACCAGCGGCGAAAGCGGCACUCUGGGCCGGUACUGACGCUGAGGAGCGAAAGCGUGGGUAGCAAACAGGAUUAGAUACCCUGGUAGUCCACGCCGUAAACGUUGGGCACUAGUGUGGGUCUCAACCAACGAGAUCCGUGCCGCAGCUAACGCAUUAAGUGCCC